AUUGAACGCUGGCGGCAGGCCUAACACAUGCAAGUCGAACGAGUGGCGGACGGGUGAGUAAUGUCUGGGAAACUGCCUGAUGGCGGGGGCUAACUACUGGAAACGGUAGCUAAUACCGCAUACCAUCAGAUUUGCCCAGAUGGGCUUCGCUGGUUGUUGGGGUAACGGCUCACCAAGGCGACGAUCCCUAGCUGGUCUGAGAGGAUGACCAGCCAAACUGGAACUGAAACACGGACCAGACUACUACGGGAGACAGAAGUGGGGAAUAUGGCACAAUGGGCGAAAGCCGUAUGCAGCCAUGCCACGUGUAUUAAGAGGGCCUUCGGGUUGUAAAAUACUUUCAGCGGGGAGGCGUUACCCGCAGAAGAAGCACCGGCUAACUGCGUGCCAGCAGCCGCGGUAAUAC
rnacentral:rRNA from 1 species